rnacentral:tRNA from 1 species
GGGCGCAUAGCUCAGUGGGAGAGCGCUCGCCUUACAAGCGAGAGGUCGUAGGUUCGAAACCUACUGUGCCCA